GUGAACGCUGGCGGUAGGCCUAACACAUGCAAGUCGAACGGCAGCACAGUAAGAGCUUGCUCUUACGGGUGGCGAGUGGCGGACGGGUGAGGAAUACAUCGGAAUCUACUUUUUCGUGGGGGAUAACGUAGGGAAACUUACGCUAAUACCGCAUACGACCUACGGGUGAAAGCAGGGGAUCUUCGGACCUUGCGCGAUUGAAUGAGCCGAUGUCGGAUUAGCUAGUUGGCGGGGUAAAGGCCCACCAAGGCGACGAUCCGUAGCUGGUCUGAGAGGAUGAUCAGCCACACUGGAACUGAGACACGGUCCAGACUCCUACGGGAGGCAGCAGUGGGGAAUAUUGGACAAAGGGCGCAAGCCUGAUCCAGCCAUACCGCGUGGGUGAAGAAGGCCUCCGGGUUGUAAAGCCCUUUUGUUGGGAAAGAAAAGCAGCAGGUUAAUACCCCGCUGUUCUGACGGUACCCAAAGAAUAAGCACCGGCUAACUUCGUG
rnacentral:rRNA from 1 species